UUAAUGUGCGAAAGCGCGAACCAGCAACGCCGCGUGUGCGAUGAAGGCCUUCGGGUCGUAAAGCACUUUUUGCAGGGACGAGGAAGGACGGUACCUGCAGAAUAAGUCUCGGCUAACUACGUGCCAGCAGCCGCGGUAAAACGUAGGAGACGAGCGUUCUCCGGAUUUACUGGGCGUAAAGCGCGUGCAGGCGGAUUGGCAAGUUGGAUGUGAAAGCUUCCCGGCUUAACUGGGAUAGGUCGUUCAAUACUGCAAGGCUUGAUAGUGGUAGAGGGAAGCAGAAUGCCUGGUGUAGUGGUGAACUGCGAAAAUAUCCGGAGGAACACCAGUGGCGACGGCGGCUUCCUGGCCCAUUUCUGACGCUCAGACGCGAAAGC
rnacentral:rRNA from 1 species